UACAUGGGGUGCAAACGUUGCUCGGAAUCAUUGGGCGUAAAGCGCACGUAGGCGGCGCAGUAAGUCGGACGUGAAAUCCCUCGGCUCAACCGAGGACGUGCAUCCGAAACUACUGUGCUCGAGUAUGGAAGAGGGUCGCGGAAUUCUCGGUGUAGAGGUGAAAUUCGUAGAUAUCGGGAGGAACACCAGUGGCGAAGGCGGCGACCUGGGCCAAUACUGACGCUGAGGUGCGAAAGCCAGGGGAGCAAACGGG
rnacentral:rRNA from 1 species